UCGAGCGCGCCCUUCGGGGUGAGCGGCGGACGGGUUAGUAACGCGUGGGAACGUGCCCUUUUCUAAGGAAUAGCCACUGGAAACGGUGAGUAAUACCUUAUACGCCCUUCGGGGGAAAGAUUUAUCGGAGAAGGAUCGGCCCGCGUUAGAUUAGAUAGUUGGUGGGGUAAUGGCCUACCAAGUCUACGAUCUAUAGCUGGUUUGAGAGGAUGAUCAGCAACACUGGGACUGAGACACGGCCCAGACUCCUACGGGAGGCAGCAGUGGGGAAUCUUGGACAAUGGGCGCAAGCCUGAUCCAGCCAUGCCGCGUGAGUGAUGAAGGCCUUAGGGUCGUAAAGCUCUUUCGCCUGUGAAGAUAAUGACGGUAGCAGGUAAAGAAACCCCGGCUAACUCCGUGCCAGCAGCCGCGGUAAUACGGAGGGGGUUAGCGUUGUUCGGAAUUACUGGGCGUAAAGCGCGCGUAGGCGGACUAUUAAGUCAGGGGUGAAAUCCCGGGGCUCAACCCCGGAACUGCCUUUGAUACUGGUAGUCUUGAGUUCGAGAGAGGUGAGUGGAAUUCCGAGUGUAGAGGUGAAAUUCGUAGAUAUUCGGAGGAACACCAGUGGCGAAGGCGGCUCUCUGGUCUGCAAC
rnacentral:rRNA from 1 species